rnacentral:tRNA from 2 species
AAUAAUUUAUUAUAAUAAGUAUAUUUUUUUGUCAAAAAAAAGGUUUUUUUAUUU